rnacentral:rRNA from 1 species
UACAGAGGUCUCGAGCGUUGUUCGGAUUCAUUAGGGCGUAAAGGGUGCGUAGGUGGCUAGGUAAGUCGGAUCGUGAAAUCCCGGGGCUCAACCCCGGAACUGCAUUCGAUACUGCCUGGCUAGAGUACUGGAGAGGAGAUUGGAAUUUACGGUGUAGCAGUGAAAUGCGUAGAUAUCGUAAGGAAGACCAGUGGCGAAGGCGGAUCUCUGGACAGUUACUGACAGCUGAGGACACGAAGGCCAGGGGAGCAAACCGGG